rnacentral:lncRNA from 1 species
CCCUGAUUUAGUCCAUUAGUCAGCCCUGAAAUGAUUUCUCACAGUAGGGCACACCUCCCCCAAGAAAGAAGGAGUGGAAGUCUUGACCCUAAAUGAAUCUCCCUUCUGGAUCCAGAACAAACAGGAAGGAAGGCAACACUGCUGAGCUGCUGUUUCAUGGCAGUUCUGUCCUUAAAUCGUUUAAUAAAUCUCACCACACCGUCCUGAAGGCUCUGAGCACACAAGGCUGCACCGUAUCUCCUACCGUUGGAUCUAUUUAUUGGCACAAGCAAAAGCACACUGGAGUCAAGGAUUGCCAGCUGUCUCUUUGAUACUGCUCCUCAUCUGCUUUUAAAAAUAGAGAACUACUUCUCUAAUUUUGAAAACCACUUUUUUUCUUGUCAAUUUUAUUGUGACUUUAAAUAUUAAUUUUCCAGUCAUUACUUUACCUGAUAAUGCAAAGAUUUUAAUAUGCAAAGUAAGAUUAUUAUUCUCUCCCCAUCUUUGAAUUCAAAAACAAAAGGAUGACUCUUGCCAGAACUGCACUUGACAGAAGUUGCUCUCUUGAAUGUCUGAACAUGGACAGCUCUGAGAAUAUUGAUUAUUGCUCCUUUUAAAAAUGAUAUUUUUCAAUUUGUAUAAGCACAAAGGAACUUGCAUUCAGUUGUGAUAAGGCAUAAGACCUUGUCCAGAUUUUGCUUAAAUGUUCAGGGGCUUAUAGAUAACAUGAGGCACUCCCUUCUAAUGCUGUGCAGUGUGAAAGGAAUCAGUUCUGUGACCAACUGGAUUUACAAUGUUGUAUCACUAUACAUACACAGGUCAUAAUGUCUUUCCCUAUGUCUUCAACUCGGCUGGAAUUCUAAUUUCAGUUAUUGUUGUCCAAAGGCUUACUAUUGCAACAGACUAUUUUUUUUCAACAGUUAAUCUGGAAAUUAAUAUAACAGAACAAAUAUAAUUAAGAAUGGGGCAGCAGUAUUUUGAAAGAUAGAUGCUUUAUAUUCCAAAAUUAUCCUUUCAAACGAUCUAUGAUUAUUUUAUCUAUCAAUAAAAUUUAGUCUGUAUUAAGGCA